CCCUGCCCGCCACCAUGGCCACCUGCAAGCUGGUGCUGAUCCGGCAUGGUGAGAGCAUCUUGGACCUGGAGAACCGCUUCAGCGGCUGGUACGACGCAGACCUGAGCCCAGCGGGCCACAAGGAGGCGAAGUGCGGCGGCCAGCCGCUGAGACGCUGGCUAUGAGUUCGACAUCUGCUUCACCUCCGUGCAGAAGCGAGCCUUCCGCACGCUCUGGACAGUGCUGGACGCCAUCGACCAGAUGUGGCUACCCGUCGUGAGGACGUGGUGCCUCAGUGAGCACCACUAUGGGGGGCUGACGGGCCUCAACAAGGCUGAGACCGCUGCCAAGCACAGGAAGGCUCAGGUGAAGAUCUGGAGGCGUUCCUUCCACAUGCCGCCGCCCACGGAGCCCGACCACCCUUGUACGGCAACAUCAGCAAGGAUUGCAGGUACGCCGACCUCACUGAAGACCAGCUGCCCUUCUGUGAGAGUCUGAAGGACACCAUUGCCAGGGCGCUGCCCUUUCGGAAUGAGGAAAUUGUUCCCCAGAUCAAGGAAGGCAAGUGGGUGUUGAUCGCGGCCCACGGCAACAGCCUCCGGGGCAUCGUCAAGUACCUGGAAGGUCUCUCUGAAGAGGUGAUCAUGGAGCUGAACCUGCCGACCAGGAUCCCCAUCGUCUAUGAGUUGGACAAGAACUUGAAGCCCAUCAAGCCCAUGCAGUUCCUGGGGGACGAGGAGACCGUGCGCAAAGCCAUGGAAGCUGUGGCCGCCCAGGGCAAGGUCAGGAAGUGAGGACC